UGCCAGCCGCCGCGGUAACACGGGGGGCGCAAGCGUUAUUCGGAAUUAUUGGGCGUAAAGGGCGCGCAGGCGGUCUUGUCCGUCAGGUGUGAAAUCCCGGAGCUUAACUCCGGAACUGCCUUUAAAACUGGUAAGCUAGAGGAUGUGAGAGGUGAGUGGAAUUCCGAGUGUAGAGGUGAAAUUCGUAGAUAUUCGGAGGAACACCAGUGGCGAAGGCGGCUCACUGGCUCGAUACUGACGCUGAGGUGCGAAAGCGUGGGGAGCAAACAGGAUUAGAUA
rnacentral:rRNA from 1 species